CCAAAGAGGGGAAUAACUGCUGGAAACGGUGGCUAAUACCCCAUGUGCUCGAUGGUUCGGUCCGUCGAGUAAAGCCCUUCGGGACGCUUUGGGAGGGGCCUGCGGCCCAUCAGGUAGUUGGUAGGGUAACGGCCUACCAAGCCGAUGACGGGUAGGGGGCGUGAGAGCGUGAACCCCCACACUGGCACUGAGAUACGGGCCAGACUCCUACGGGAGGCAGCAGUGAGGAAUAUUGCCCAAUGGACGCAAGUCUGAGGCAGCAACGCCGCGUGGGCGAUGAAGGCCUUCGGGUUGUAAAGCCCUUUUCUGGGGGAAGAGGAAGGACGGUACCUCAGGAAUAAGUCACGGCUAACUACGUGCCAGCAGCCGCGGUAAUACGUAGGUGGCAAGCGUUAUCCGGAUUCACUGGGCGUAAAGCGCGUGCAGGCGGUUUCGUAAGUCGGACGUGAAAGCUCCUGGCUUAGCUGGGAGAGGUCGUUCGAUACCGCGGGGCUUGAGGUCGGGAGAGGGACGUGGAAUUCCCGGUGUAGUGGUGGAAUGCGUAGAUAUCGGGAGGAACACCAGUGGCGAAGGCGACGUCCUGGCCCGCACCUGACGCUGAGACGCGAAAGCGUGGGUAGCAAACGGGAUUAGAUACCCCGGUAGUCCACGCUGUAAACGGUGGGUACUAGGUGUUGGUGGCUAUCGUCAUUAGUGCCGUAGCUAACGCGUUAAGUACCCCGCCUGGGGACUACGGCCGCAAGGCUAAAACUCAAAAGAAUUGACGGA
rnacentral:rRNA from 1 species